rnacentral:lncRNA from 1 species
CUGUAGUUGUGGAAGGAGGGGAUGAACACAGUGGUGGCGCAACAUGCACCAAAUAUGUAUGUCCAUGUCCUCUUAUCAAACUUAUCAUUCACGUAGUAUAUAUUGCUGCAACCACAUUUAUUUGUAUAUAUACAUUAACAAGAAACAUAACUAAUUAAUGAUGCAACAUCAAUCCACAAAACAAAGAAAUCAAUCAAUUAAAAAGUAGGUAAUUAAUUAGUGUUUAGAUAGGCUAGUACCUGGCACAAGCUAUGAGCUGAAUGACAGAGCCAAAGAGAAGGAAAGUGCAGUUGAAUGCCAGCCCCACAUUCCUCCAGUGCUUCCCAAGAAGCCCAUCCAACACCUCAAACCACUGCAUUUUUUUUUAAAAAAAAAAAAUCAGCACAAUCAAAAAACAAAGCAAACUCGAUCUAAAUACUUAAAAAAUAACAAUAUAUAUAUAUAUAUAAGAGUGUAUAUAUAGAGACCUGGAUAACAUGGUUCCUAAAAUCCACCUUGUCCCUCUCCUUCCUAGUCCUGUACUCGAGAUAGAGAAUGCUGAUGAGAUAAGCAGUCCAACUCCCCAACAAGCCAUAGAACAGUUGGAAGAGGAUCCCACUCAUCAUCCCCAGCUGCGAGAAUGAGUAGGGCAAAGUCAAAAGCACUUGCGCCACCUACACAAAACAAGCCAAGAUAAAAAAUGAAAUUAAGAUGCUUAUAGUUAAUUCAGUAAUGCUUAAUUAAUUAAUUAAUAAUGUAGAAGCUAGCCUACGUACAUAUAUAAUCUCAUCAAAAUCACUUCAAAGGAAAAAAAGUUAUGAGAGUAAAAGCGGGCGAGGGGGUGGGGGUAUUAAUGUAAAUUUGCCUGGUUGGAGGCGCAGCUGAACCAGGCGUCGUAGGCGGAGCCGCCGUGCCAGAGGAGGCCGGAGAGGCGUGAUUUGACGGUUUUGCCCUCGCCCUCCUGCUCCAUCUCCACGUACCUCCCCACCAUCACUGUUUCCACCACCUUCUCCUCUCCCCCUACCAUAUUCGUGCUUGAGCCCAUAUAUGUAUCUAUAUAUAUAUGUGUGUGUGCGCGCGCGCGCUUUGUUUAUCUCUUUGAUUGAUGAUAACACACACACACACACACACACACACACACACACACACACACACACACACACACACACACACACGCACUCUCUUAAUUUGGCUCUCUCUGUGCAAUGUAUAUAUAGAUAUGUAUAUAUGUGU